GAUGAACGCUAGCGGGAGGCUUAACACAUGCAAGUCGAGGGGCAGCAUAGGGUAGCAAUACUCUGAUGGCGACCGGCAAACGGGUGAGUAACGCGUAUGUAACCUACCCUGUACAGGGGGAUAACCCGGAGAAAUUCGGACUAAUAUCCCAUAACAAUAUCCGGGGCAUCUUUGGAUAUUUAAAGUUCCGGCGGUACGGGAUGGGCAUGCGUAACAUUAGCUAGUUGGUAAGGUAACGGCUUACCAAGGCUUUGAUGUUUAGGGUCCUGAGAGGGUGGUCCCCCACACUGGUACUGAGACACGGACCAGACUCC
rnacentral:rRNA from 1 species